rnacentral:rRNA from 1 species
GACGAACGCUGGCGGCGUGCUUAACACAUGCAAGUCGAACGGAAAGGCCCUGCUUUUGUGGGGUGCUCGAGUGGCGAACGGGUGAGUAACACGUGAGUAACCUGCCCUUGACUUUGGGAUAACUUCAGGAAACUGGGGCUAAUACCGGAUAGGAGCUCCUGCUGCAUGGUGGGGGUUGGAAAGUUUCGGCGGUUGGGGAUGGACUCGCGGCUUAUCAGCUUGUUGGUGGGGUAGUGGCUUACCAAGGCUUUGACGGGUAGCCGGCCUGAGAGGGUGACCGGCCACAUUGGGACUGAGAUACGGCGCAGACGCCUACGGGAGGCAGCAGUGGGGAAUAUUGCACAAUGGGCGGAAGCCUGAGGCAGCAACGCCGCGUGCGGGAUGACGGCCUUCGGGUUGUAAACCGCUUUCGCCUGUGACGAAGCGUGAGUGACGGUAAUGGGUAAAGAAGCACCGGCUAACUACGUG